GGGGAUAACGGAGCGAAAGCGACGCUAAUACCGCAUACGAUCUAUGGAUGAAAGCGGGGAUCGCAAGACCUCGCGCGAUUGGAGCGGCCGAUAUCAGAUUAGGUGUUGGUGGGGUAAAAGCCCACCAAGCCGACGAUCUGUAGCUGGUCUGAGGGACGACCAGCCACACUGGGACUGAGACACGGCCCAGACUCCUACGGGAGCAGCAGUGGGGAAUUUUGGACAAUGGGCGCAAGCCUGAUCCGCAAUGCCGCGUGCAGGAUGAAGGCCUUCGGGUUGUAAACUGCUUUUGUCGGAACGAAACGGCCUUUUCUAAUACAGAAGGCUAAUGACGGGACCGGAGAAUAAGCACCGGCUAACUACGUGCCAGCAGCCGCGGGAAUACGUAGGGGCGAGCGUUAAUCGGAAUUACUGGGCGAAAGCGUGCGCAGGCGGGUUUGGACAGAAGUGAA
rnacentral:rRNA from 1 species